rfam:Corchorus capsularis cultivar CVL-1 contig15105, whole genome shotgun sequence.
UGGUGCGAUCAUACCAGCACAGAUGCACCGGAUCCCAUCAGAACUUCGCAGUUAAGCGUGCUUGGCCAAGAGUAGUACUAGGAUGGGUGACCUCCUAAGAAGUCCUCGUGUUGCACCCC